AUUCAUUUUUGGAUUACUUGAGGCAUUUAGUUGCUCUGCCAGUUGUACAAGUGAUGUUCCUCAUAUUCCUGUAAGUUGAGAUGUUACAUUUUGAUUCUUUAUACUUUGAUUUUCAUUUAUGUGGAACUCCUUUGAUUGCACAAUGUCCCAAUGAAUCUGAUUUUUGUAUUAUUAAUUUGCUAUUGCUUACGAUUGUAUAAUCUGGAGAUGGAUUUGAAACUUAAGAAUCAAUCUUAAAAGAAUUUUACUUUAUUGAUGAA
rnacentral:misc_RNA from 1 species